GAAAGAGAGUGUGCUCUGACA
rnacentral:siRNA from 1 species